AUCAUUGGGACUCUGUCAAGGUGAUGCUCUCCCUAGGUCAACAAGUACAGUAAACCCAGCUUUGCCUGACCAACGGACCUCCCUGCUUAUCUUUGGCCAAGCCUUAGACUUCAUCCUACUGAGGAAGAGGAAAAAGAAAUUAAGAAAGGGGGCAGAAAACAAAGAGAAGAAAGAAGCAUUGUGAAAGCCGAAUAAAAUGUGCCUGAGAAUCAUCAGUUUCCACCCUUGCUCUGGUCCACCUACUCUUUUCACAGAUGUGGAAAUUUACGCCAAGGAAAGAAACAUGACUGCUUAGUAUCAGGAGCCAGAACCCAGGCUGACUCCUGGAAAUGCAGGGUGCUGACAGAGUAAUGCCACUCUGAUAAUUAGGGAAAGAAGAGCAAGGGUGACUCAAGUUUAAUAGAUCAGAACAUGCUGCACUCUGGGUGAACAAUGAGGGAACUACAUUAACGAAAGCAACUUUUACUCCAGUCCUGAUCACCGAGAGUAGAACUUGGAAUACUCCAUCAAUUUUGAUUGAAGUCAUGCUAAGGUGGUGGCUGCCCCAUGGAUCUGCCUUCCAGGUCUUCUGUAUAACUCUGAGCAAGUCAUUUAAUCUCUUU
rnacentral:lncRNA from 1 species